rnacentral:misc_RNA from 1 species
UAAAACGAUAUACUGCAUCGGCAUCUGUGGCGCGCCCUGAAAGAGGCGCAGCGCGAUCCGGCCCCGUGAAGUCGCAGCAGCUCCUCGCAUCCUCAGGCAACUACUUGCGGCCAACCUUUGCCCCAUCUCCCCAACCGCUCUCUCGCUUCGUCAUGGGCAUCCAGAUUCCGUGGUUGUUUGUGUGCGUCAGCACCGUGCCGGUCUUCAUGAUCUACACGAAGACGAAGCGCAUGGAUGCUCGCGAGAUGCACGAGAUCCAGAUGCGCGUUAAAUACCAUUCCGAGUACUGGAAGAAGGGCAACGUCUUUGUGAAGGAGUUCCAGGACAAGGUUGCCGCCCAGGUAAUGCGCACCGCGGAUCCGCUAGUGGGGAAGGACAUUGCCAACAUCUCCGUCAAGGAGCUGGCCGCUGCCGAGAAUCCAGUGCGUGCACGACGAUGGCUGCUCUUUUAAAAAGUUGUACCAUCAUGAGGGAGCUGGCACGGUGGCCGAGGCACCACGUGCAUCGCUUCUCCCUUGACCUCAAAAUCAGGCACGCACACACACACGCUCACACGCAGAGUCAACGAACCAACAAGAGGGUGUGAGGCGCAACGACCGCGAAGCCACCCUGCGACAGUGGACGCGCUUCAUGUCGUUGUCACCUUGCGUGUCGGCCACCACUACCAUGCUGGCCAAGGCGACAGUGCUCGGUAGACUUGAGCGCGCAGGCAAGUCCCUCCCUCCUUCUCUCUCUGUGGGUAUGGACGUGAAACGGGCGCAGUCUUUCGCCGGCCCGGGGCAUUGAUUUGUGUGCGUGUACGCGUCUGUGGGCGUGUGCGCCGCGACCGUAUCCGCUUGUCAGUGCCCGCACAUCUUCUCAUGCCAGCAUGUGUAACCCACCACUCCCCUUCCCACCACCACCACCACCACCUCUCUCGAUCUCUCUUGUUCACCACCUCAG